UACGGGGGGGGCAAGCGUUGUUCGGAAUUACUGGGCGUAAAGGGCUCGUAGGUGGCCAACUAAGUCGGACGUGAAAUCCCUCAGCUUAACUGGGGAACUGCGUCCGAUACUGAUGGCUCGAGUUUGGGAGAGGGAUGCGGAAUUCCAGGUGUAGCGGUGAAAUGCGUAGAUAUCUGGAGGAACACCGGUGGCGAAGGCGGCAUCCUGGACCAACACUGACACUGAGGAGCGAAAGCCAGGGGAGCGAACAGG
rnacentral:rRNA from 1 species